rnacentral:rRNA from 1 species
AGAAUCAACGCUGGCGGCGUGCCUAACACAUGCAAGUCGCACGAGAAAGGGACUUCGGUCUUGAGUACAGUGGCGCACGGGUGAGUAACACGUGAAUCAUCUACCUUCGAGUGGGGAAUAAUUGAGAGAAAUCUUAGCUAAUACCGCAUAAUACCCACGGGUCAAAGCAGCAAUGCGCUUGAAGAGGAGUUCGCGGCAGAUUAGUUAGUUGGCGGGGUAAUGGCCCACCAAGACGAUGAUCUGUA